rnacentral:tRNA from 1 species
GGCCCGUUCGUCUAGUGGCUAGGACGCUAGGUUCUCAUCCUAGUAACAGGGGUUCGAUUCCCCUACGGGCUACUA